GAUGAACGCUAGCGGCGGGCUUAACACAUGCAAGUCGAGGGGUAUAGUUCUUCGGAGCUAGAGACCGGCGCACGGGUGCGGAACGCGUAUGCAAUCUACCUUUUGCAGAGGGAUAGCCCAGAGAAAUUUGGAUUAAUACCUCAUGGUAUGUGAGAAUGGGAUCAUUUUCAAAUUAAAGUUACAACGGCAAAAGAUGAGCAUGCGUCCCAUUAGCUAGUUGGUAAGGUAACGGCUUACCAAGGCAACGAUGGGUAGGUGUCCUGAGAGGGAGAUCCCCCACACUGGUACUGAGACACGGACCAGACUCCUACGGGAGGCAGCAGUGAGGAAUAUUGGACAAUGGGCGCAAGCCUGAUCCAGCCAUGCCGCGUGCAGGAUGACGGUCCUAUGGAUUGUAAACUGCUUUUGUACAGGAAGAAACACUGGUUCGUGAACCAGCUUGACGGUACUGUAAGAAUAAGGAUCGGCUAACUCUGUGCCAGCCGCCGCAGUAAUAC
rnacentral:rRNA from 1 species